rnacentral:rRNA from 1 species
AUUGAACGCUGGCGGCAUGCUUUACACAUGCAAGUCGAACGGUAACAGGCCGCAAGGUGCUGACGAGUGGCGAACGGGUGAGUAAUGCAUCGGAACGUGCCCAGUCGUGGGGGAUAACGCAGCGAAAGUUGCGCUAAUACCGCAUACGAUCUAUGGAUGAAAGCGGGGGACCGUAAGGCCUCGCGUGAUUGGAGCGGCCGGUGUCAGAUUAGGUAGUUGGUGGGGUAAAGGCUUACCAAGCCGACGAUCUGUAGCUGGUCUGAGAGGACGACCAGCAACACUGGGACUGAGACACGGCCCAGAAUCCUACGGGAGGCAGCAGUGGGGAAUUUUGGACAAUGGGCGCAAGCCUGAUCCAGCAAUGCCGCGUGCAGGAAGAAGGCCUUCGGGUUGUAAACUGCUUUUGUACGGAACGAAACGGUCCUGGUUAAUACCCGGGGCUAAUGACGGUACCGUAAGAAUAAGCACCGGCUAACUACGUGCCAGCAGCCGCCGUAAGAC